rnacentral:rRNA from 1 species
AACAAGCGCUGGCGGCGUGCCUAAUACAUGCAAGUCGAACGGGGAAAGCUUUCGGGUGAGUACUAGUGGCGCACGGGUGAGGAACGCGUGGAUAAUCUGCCUUAGAGUGGGGGAUAACUAGUCGAAAGAUUAGCUAAUACCGCAUAAGACCACAGGAGCUGCGGCUCAAGGGGUCAAAGGUUUUUCGCUCUAAGAUGAGUCCGCGUGAGAUUAGCUAGUUGGUGAGGUAACGGCUCACCAAGGCGACGAUCUUUAACUGGUCUGAGAGGAUGAUCAGUCACACUGGAACUGAGACACGGUCCAGACUCCUACGGGAGGCAGCAGUAGGGAAUAUUGCACAAUGGAGGAAACUCUGAUGCAGCGACGCCGCGUGAGUGAUGAAGGCCUUCGGGUCGUAAAGCUCUGUCGCAGGGGAAUAACACAAUGAAUGUACCCUGUAAGAAAGGAUCGGCUAACUUCGUGCCAGCCGCCGCAGUAACAC